GAUGAACGCUGACAGCAUGCUUAACACAUGCAAGUCUUUGGCGAAGCUGUGCUUGCACCGCCUAGCCAAGGCGGACGGGUGAGUAACGCGUAAGGAACUUGCCCUGCAGUCAGGGAUAACAGACGGAAACGACUGAUAAGACCUGGUAAAGUCAGGCGGACUCACGUCCAGCCUGAUGAAAAGAGAUGCUGCAGGAGAGCCUUGCGUCCUAUUAGCUUGUUGGUGGGGUAACGGCCCACCAAGGCGAUGAUAGGUAGCCGGCCUGAGAGGGUGGACGGCCACAAGGGGACUGAGAUACGGCCCUUACUCCUACGGGAGGCAGCAGUGGGGAAUAUUGGACAAUGGGGGCAACCCUGAUCCAGCAAUUCUGUGUGCACGAUGAAGGUUUUCGGAUUGUAAAGUGCUUUCAGCAGGGAAGAAAAAAAUGACGGUACCUGCAGAAGAAGCGACGGCUAAAUACGUG
rnacentral:rRNA from 1 species